rnacentral:lncRNA from 1 species
GGGGGUAAUUUAUGCACGCAGUCGAUGGGAGCCGAGUUGGCUUGACGUGGUCCCGCGUUCCCUGGCUGAGGAAGAGGAGGGACCCGGUAUCGGGUGCUGUUAACGUGAGGCUUUCACUAUUGGUGCCCUGAAUGUGUUUCUGACCCUGUGCACACCAACAAGGAAAUCCAGCCCUUCCUCUCCAGGUAAGAACAUUCUCUCCAGUUAAAAGAUGUUGGUGAUGAACUCAAGAACAAGGGUCUACCCUGUCCAGGGGGGUUGUAACUGGAUGGGCUUUAACGUCCCUUCCAUUCCAAACCAGUCUGUGAUUCUAUGUCUUAACAAGGCAGCUGUGAUCUCGUAUGCUGAGCUGUACCUGUGUAGCAGGGCAAAGAGUAACCCAAAUGUCCAAAUCUAUACAUAAAGGCUGUGUAUUGGAAAUGGACUGGCCCUAAAAGCAUCUCAAAACCCUGUCUGGAACACCAAACAGGGGCUGGGACACAGCACUGUGUUUUUCUGCUUCUGAGCUUUAAGGUUAUGGCCUUGUUUGAAAAAGAAGUGUAAAAAGAAUUGUAUCAUAGAAUCUCAGACUGGUUUGGGUUGGAAGGACCUUAAAGCUCAUCCAGCUCCAACCCCCUGCCACAGGCAGGGACACCUUUUACUAGAGCAGGUUGCUCCAAGUCCCAUCCAACCUGGCCUUGAAUGUGGGAUGGGGCAGCCACAGCUUCUCUGAGCAGCCACUCAGUGCCUAGUUUGGAGCACCUGCGGUGUGGUCCUUACCCCAAAAUGCUCCAGAGGCUUUGGGUCAGUCCUUUUGUUGUCCCAAAAGUGGGAUCGUUCCCCAGUGUGCACAAGACCGAUGUACACACAGAGUCGAGGUCUUUCAUUAUCAGCUAUUUUGCUUGGUGGAAGCUCCCAAACCUGCACACUUUAGUUUUGUGUAUAUCAGGUUAUGUAAAUUCAGAGAGCAAAGAAAUUACUUUUCAUUGGUGCAAAGCUACCAAAUAUAUGAUUAAUUAGUACUCUGAAACAGCUUGAAUUCCCUGAAGGGAAUGUGCUAUAUAAAUACACAAGAAUCCCAUUUCCAGCCCUUCUUCAUGGUGUGGUUGGUGGAGGUUCUGCAAGACACAGACAUCAGAAUAAAUGUGACCCUCUUAAAGACAGCUGAUGAUACAAAGGUCAAAAGAAGAGUGAUUGAUGAGGAGAAAAGUACAUGUUAAUAUUUCUCCAAGAGGAAAAGAAUUACAUAUAAUGGGUGUACUACUCAAGAAGAGCUUGCACAUCCUGUGAGUGAUGCCAGCAUUUUAAAGGCACUUAAGCCUUGAAUUUCCCCUUGAUAAAAGUUAUGUCACGUCACUCGCACCCAGUGAUUGGGUUUAUGGGCAAAGUGUCAUGCAAACAUAUCUGAAGGAGAGAACGAAUGCCAGCACAAACAGCAGUGCUGCAGGAGCUGCAGCUCCAUGCCCAGGGCUUGCAGCUCUGAGGGUGAUGGCCCUUGCUGUAGGUUCCUCCUGAAGGUGUGCUGGGUGGAAGGAUUGUGCCUGCUGUUGGUUGUUUUCCGACCCCCCCCCAAUUCCCCUCUGCUCCUCCUUAGGCAGUGAGCAGCUGGUUUUGAUCAUUAGCAACAGCAUCACACCCUCAGCUUGGCCAGGUCCAAGGGUGGGAUCCUUGGGAAGGGUGGGACCUCUUUGAGUUUGCCUUUUGUCCAAGCUCAGGAUUUUUGUGUCAAAGCCCUGUAUUGCAAAAUGAGGAAGUAAGGACUGCUACAAAUGCAGUGCUUGAGGCAGGGAAGGGCGCAGGGUGAAGCAAUGUGAUGGAACACCAAGCAGAUUCUCUAGUUGAGCAGGGUUGGAGCAUCAGAAACUCCCUGAUUGAUUGGUGUCUAAACUGGGUGCAUAAAAACAUAUCAUGGUGAUAAUCAAAGUGAUAAACUUUGUGCUUCUCUAUCUCCAUGAAAUAAUUGUUCUGCCUGAGCAUCAUUAUCCUGCCAUUUCUCUGCUCCUGUGUCACUUACUGAAAAUAAAGGCUCACUUCUUCCGUUAUAAUGAGCUACAGCUUCAGUAAUUCACAGAGAUUUUUACUGGGCUUUAUUUUUUAAUCUUCAUCCCAGGGUUAUAAAACUUGUGCCACUUUUCUAAGGGUUAGUGAAGUAUCAGCAGAAGGAGAAGGCAAGGAUGGAUUUGCUACAGUUCAUUUAGUGGGAUUUUACUGUGCUAUAUUGCAACUAAUGUAUUAUUAUUGUUAUUAUUACUACUAUAUUUUCCCCAGUAGCUGCUAAUGGGGCAAGACUGGGAGGACAGUAUGGACCUGGCUGGGGAUGGAAUUUGGGCCACACAGAUACCAUCCAAGCUGUCGGUUUAGAGACAACACUUUCUAUUCCCAAUGACUUUGUUUUCUCUGGAGGAGUUUCUGAAGAAGCGUCAUCUUUGAACAAUUAUUCCAGGCUUAAGAGUUGUCUCUCUCCUUCUAUUGUUUCUUACUGAUUUUGAUGUAUGAUACUUCCAUAUAUGCUCUGUAUAUACAAAUUUAAUUUUCCAUAUACAAAGUUCUGUCUGCCUUCAGGGAAAGGAUAUGGGAUUUUUGUGUCAUUAAUCUGGUAGCAUCUUGAAUUAUGGUGCUAUUUCUAAAAGCUUUCUUCAUAUGUAUGAAAUGAUUAUUUGGCAGAGCAGCGUUCAAUAUUGAUGGAAUAGUGAUUUUGCUUGUUUAAUACAUCAAUUUAAGCUGUUAUCUUCGCUUCUUUGAAAUGCUAGAUAAUUACAUAAAUAAUUAUGAAACAUUCUAUCAAUGCAUCUUCGUGCAAAGUAUUGCUGCUGAUCUUUUAUAGUCAUGGAACUAAAUAUUGCAUUUGGGAAAGGAAGAGGGAGCCCAUGGCACCAUGCUGAGUAGGUUGUUUCCUGUAUGCAUGUACCUGAAUACCAGGCAAUUCAAACAUCAGAUCAAGAAAUAAACUGUCGCCACC